rnacentral:rRNA from 1 species
UAACAGGAUUAGAUACCCUGGUAGUCCACGCCGUAAACGAUGUCGACUUGGAGGUUGUUCCCUUGAGGAGUGGCUUCCGGAGCUAACGCGUUAAGUCGACCGCCUGGGGAGUACGGCCGCAAGGUUAAAACUCAAAUGAAUUGACGGGGGCCCGCACAAGCGGUGGAGCAUGUGGUUUAAUUCGAUGCAACGCGAAGAACCUUACCUACUCUUGACAUCCAGAGAAUUUAGCAGAGAUGCUUUGGUGCCUUCGGGAACUGUGAGACAGGUGCUGCAUGGCUGUCGUCAGCUCGUGUUGUGAAAUGUUGGGUUAAGUCCCGCAACGAGCGCAACCCUUAUCCUUUGUUGCCAGCGAUUCGGUCGGGAACUCAAAGGAGACUGCCGGUGAUAAACCGGAGGAAGGUGGGGAUGACGUCAAGUCAUCAUGGCCCUUACGAGUAGGGCUACACACGUGCUACAAUGGCGCAUACAAAGAGAAGCGACCUCGCGAGAGCAAGCGGACCUCAUAAAGUGCGUCGUAGUCCGGAUCGGAGUCUGCAACUCGACUCCGUGAAGUCGGAAUCGCUAGUAAUCGUGGAUCAGAAUGCCACGGUGAAUACGUUCCCGGGCCUUGUACACACCGCCCGUCACACCAUGGGAGUGGGUUGCAAAAGAAGUAGGUAGCUUAACCUUCGGGAGGGCGCUUACCACUUUGUGAUUCAUGACUGGGGUGAAGUCG